GACGAACGCUGGCGGCGUGCUUAACACAUGCAAGUCGAACGGAAAGGCCCUGCUUUUGUGGGGUGCUCGAGUGGCGAACGGGUGAGUAACACGUGAGUAACCUGCCCUUGACUUUGGGAUAACUUCAGGAAACUGGGGCUAUACCGGAUAGGAGCUCCUGCUGCAUGGUGGGGGGUGGAAAGUUUCGGCGGUUGGGGGUGGACUCGCGGCUUAUCAGCUUGUUGGUGGGGUAGUGGCUUACCAAGGCUUUGACGGGUAGCCGGCCUGAGAGGGUGACCGGCCACAUUGGGACUGAGAUACGGCCCAGACUCCUACGGGAGGCAGCAGUGGGGAAUAUUGCACAAUGGGCGGAAGCCUGAUGCAGCAACGCCGCGUGCGGGAUGACGGCCUUCGGGUUGUAAACCGCUUUCGCCUGUGACGAAGCGUGAGUGACGGUAAUGGGUAAAGAAGCACCGGCUAACUACGUG
rnacentral:rRNA from 1 species